CUCUCCUCCGGGGGGCAGCAGUGAGGAAUAUUGGUCAAUGGGCUUACGCCUUAACCAGCCCCGUCGCGUUCGGGAAGACUGCCCUAUGGGUUGUAAACCUCUUUUGUCAGGGAGCAAUUGGCGCUACGUGUAGCGUUAUCGAGAGUACCUGAAGAAAAAGCAUCGGCUAACUCCGUGCCAGCAGCCGCGGUAAUACGGAGGAUGCGAGCGUUAUCCGGAUUUAUUGGGCUUAAAGGGUGCGUAGGCGGAAUGCCAAGUCAGCGGUAAAAUCGCGGGGCUCAACCUCGCUCCGCCGUUGAAACUGG
rnacentral:rRNA from 1 species